GACUGAAACGACCUACAUGCCCAUCAGAGGAGGCAGAUUACUGACUACACGCAUCCACAGUGGGGUACCACACAGCCGUAACAGAGGCAGCUCUUGGCAUGCUAAGAAUAUGCCAUCUCCAAGAUAAAUUAAGGGAAAAAGAAAGGUAUGGAACAGUUUGUUUAAUUGACCAGCUAGCGGUCAGGAUCUGGCACAGAACACAGAGGAUGACACAAGGGACAAAUUCUCAGUUCACUGGAAGAUGGUUCAUAACUGGUACCACUUGGGAUGCAGAGGAGAGAGGCUAAUUCCUUACACGCACCGAUCCCGUGGGGCCUUAAGACCUAGUUCUCUCGAAGCCGACAGAGGGAGG